rnacentral:rRNA from 1 species
AGGGAUGCAAAGCCGCGAGGUGGAGNGAACCCCUAAAAGUCGUCCCAGUUCAGAUCGCAGUCUGCAACUCGACUGCGUGAAGUCGGAAUCGCUAGUAAUCGCGGAUCAGCAUGCCGCGGUGAAUACGUUCCCGGGCCUUGUACACACCGCCCGUCACACCAUGGGAGUCGGAAAUGCCCGAAGUCAGUGACCUAACCGAAAGGAGGGAGCUGCCGAAGGUGGAGCCGGUAACUGGGGUGAAGUCGUAACAAGGUACC